rnacentral:rRNA from 1 species
AAUAGAUACCCUGGUAGUCCAUGCCGUAAACGUUGGGCACUAGGUGUGGGGCUCAUUCCACGAGUUCCGUGCCGCAGCAAACGCAUUAAGUGCCCCGCCUGGGGAGUACGGCCGCAAGGCUAAAACUCAAAGAAAUUGACGGGGGCCCGCACAAGCGGCGGAGCAUGCGGAUUAAUUCGAUGCAACGCGAAGAACCUUACCAAGGCUUGACAUACACCGGAAACUUCCAGAGAUGGUUGCCCCGCAAGGUCGGUGUACAGGUGGUGCAUGGUUGUCGUCAGCUCGUGUCGUGAGAUGUUGGGUUAAGUCCCGCAACGAGCGCAACCCUCGUCCUAUGUUGCCAGCGGGUCAUGCCGGGGACUCAUAGGAGACUGCCGGGGUCAACUCGGAGGAAGGUGGGGAUGACGUCAAAUCAUCAUGCCCCUUAUGUCUUGGGCUUCACGCAUGCUACAAUGGCCGGUACAAAGGGCUGCGAUACCGCGAGGUGGAGCGAAUCCCAAAAAGCCGGUCUCAGUUCGGAUUGGGGUCUGCAACUCCG